AGUGAACGCUGGCGGUAGGCCUAACACAUGCAAGUCGAACGACAGCACAGUAAGAGCUUGCUCUUACGGGUGGCGAGUGGCGGACGGGUGAGGAAUACAUCGGAAUCUACUUUUUCGUUGGGGAUAACGUCGGGAAACUUACGCUAAUACCGCAUACGACCUUCGGGUGAAAGCAGGGGAUCUUCGGACCUUGCGCGAUUGAAUGAGCCGAUGUCGGAUUAGCUAGUUGGCGGGGUAAAGGCCCACCAAAGCGACGAUCCGUAGGUGGUCUGACAGGAAGAUCAGCCACACUGGAACUGAGAAACGGUCCAGACUCCGACGGGAGGCAGCAGUGGGGAAUAUUGGACAAUGGGCGCAAGCCUGAUCCAGCCAUACCGCGUAGGUGAAGAAGGCCUUCGGGUUGUAAAGCCCUUUUGUUGGGAAAGAAAAGCAGCAGGUUAAUACCCCGCUGUUCUGACGGUACCCAAAGAAUAAGCACCGGCUAACUUCGUG
rnacentral:rRNA from 1 species